UACGGGAGGCAGCAGUGGGGAAUAUUGCACAAUGGGCGCAAGCCUGAUGCAGCCAUGCCGCGUGUAUGAAAAAGGCCUUCGGGUUGUAAAGUACUUUCAGUCGUGAGGAAGGUGUUAAGGUUAAUAACCUUAGCAAUUGACGUUAGCGACAGAAGAAGCACCGGCUAACUCCGUGCCAGCAGCCGCGGUAAUACGGAGGGUGCGAGCGUUAAUCGGAAUUACUGGGCGUAAAGGGCACGCAGGCGGUUAAUUAAGUUGGAUGUGAAAUCCCCGGGCUUAACCUGGGAAUGGCAUUCAAGACUGGUUAGCUAGAGUCUUGUAGAGGGGGUAGAAUUCCAUGUGUAGCGGUGAAAUGCGUAGAGAUGUGGAGGAAUACCGGUGGCGAAGGCGGCCCCUGGGACAAAGACUGACGCUCAUGUGCGAAAGCGUGGGGAGCAAAC
rnacentral:rRNA from 1 species